rnacentral:sRNA from 1 species
UGAAAACGCUCAACCAAACCGUUGCAUU